GCCGGCAGCUAGCUCUCUGCAACUCUCACAUGGUCACCCACUAAAGCCAAGCAGGGCUGCGCCCAGUCAGUACCUGGAUGACAAACCACAUGGAAAAGCUUGGUUGCUGCCAGAA
rnacentral:rRNA from 1 species